CCCUACUGUGUUUGUGAUUGGAUGAUGUUUUUUGAUCCAACACCAAUGUUACGGGAGCCUUUGAUUGUUUUGGUGAGCAUGUUCUGUACGUAAAGAAAAGCCUAAAAAAACUAAAAGGUACCCACUUUAUCCAUUAGGUUCAAAGACCCAUCCACACGGCACAAA
rnacentral:other from 1 species